GGCCCAAAUCUGAAGUAAGGUAGAUUAGUAAGGUCCUACUACUCUACUGUACUUCGAAAUUGGGCCC
rnacentral:pre_miRNA from 1 species